AUUGAACGCUGGCGGCAGGCCUAACACAUGCAAGUCGAGCGGUAACACAGAGAGCUUGCUCUCGGGUGACGAGCGGCGGACGGGUGAGUAAUGUCUGGGAAACUGCCUGAUGGAGGGGGAUAACACCGGGAAACCGGUGCUAAUACCGGAUAAUCCUUCUCCUCACAUGAGGGGAAGCUGAAAGACGGUUUCGGCUGUCACUUACAGAUGGGCCCGCGGCGCAUUAGCUAGUUGGUGGGGUAACGGCCCACCAAGGCGACGAUGCGUAGCCGGCCUGAGAGGGUGAUCGCCCACACUGGGACUGAGACACGGCCCAGACUCCUACGGGAGGCAGCAGGAGGGAAUCUUCCGCAAUGGACGCGAGUCUGACGGCGCAACGCCGCGUGAGCGAAGAAGGCCUUCGGGUCGUAAAGCUCUGUUGUCAGGGAAGAACACGUACCGGAGUAACUGCCGGUACCUUGACGGUACCUGACCAGAAAGCCACGGCUAACUACGUGCCAGCCGCCGCCGUAACAC
rnacentral:rRNA from 1 species